rnacentral:rRNA from 1 species
UACGGAGGGUGCGAGCGUUAAUCGGAAUUACUGGGCGUAAAGGGUGCGUAGGUGGUUAAUUAAGUUAUCUGUGAAAUUCCUGGGCUUAACCUGGGACGGUCAGAUGAUACUGGAUAACUCGAGUAUGGGAGAGGGUAGUGGAAUUUCCGGUGUAGCGGUGAAAUGCGUAGAGAUCGGAAGGAACACCAGUGGCGAAGGCGGCUACCUGGCCUAAUACUGACACUGAGGCACGAAAGCGUGGGGAGCAAACAGG